rnacentral:lncRNA from 10 species
GUGUCCGCGGUGCACCGGGGCGGAGGCUCGGGCAGUGGCGGCGCGGGAGGCGGCUCAGGCGGCGGCAGCGGCAGUGGCGGGGGCGGCGGCGGGGCGGGCGGCGGGGGCGGCGGCAGCUCUGGCGGGGGCAGCGGGACAGCCGGGGGUCACAGCGGCCUCUCCUCCAACUUCAAUGAAUGGCAUGAAGAGCAAAAAUAUCCCUUCCGGAGUCUUUGAAG